ensembl:lncRNA
CGCGAAUACUACAGACUACCUGAGAAGACCCUGCAACUCGCUAAGAUUAGCAAACUCUUAAUGGCACUUGAGCAAGGACGAUUAGCAGAAUUUCAUGGCAAGAACUUGGAUGAAAUUGGGAUAGGUCCAGAUGAAAAGGUUUUUGAAAGUGAAGAUGAAAGCCCACAGGAGGCACACUGUUCAUCUACUGCUGAUGAAGAGACUCUUCCUCACAUCGAGAGCCCUGAAAUUCCACCAACCAAGAAGCGAAGACAACGGCCGUUGGUUGAAAUGCCGGAAGAAGUCGGCGCUAUGAGGCCUUCCUCACAAGCAGAGACUCUUCCUCACAUCGAGAGCCCUGAAAUGCCACCACCCAAGAAACGCAGACAACGGCCUUUGGUGGAAAUGCCGGAAGAAGUCGGCGCUAUGAGGCCUUCCUCCCAAGGUAAAGCUGCAAAGAAGAAAAAACCCUGGCAGCCGACAGAGGUCCAGGCAGUCGAGAGGCACAUGACUCGCUUCAUCACCUCUUGCAUUGUACCUGGGAAGAGUGAUUGUGAGAAAUGUUUAAGGGUUGAACCAGAAGCACUACAGAACCGGGAUUGGCAGAACCUUAAAUUCUACAUUCAUAACCGAAUUAAGUCCUACAAAAAGAAGUGGCAAUGAAAAUAGUUUAUACAUUGCAUGUAUAAUGUAUAAUAUUAUGCAUUAUACAUGUAUAAUAAUUUUAAUUAUUAUACAUGUAUAUAUAUCCACGUCAUUUAAACAUGAG